GGGUUGGGUCAUAGGGAGUCUAGAGUUGAUGAGUGCAUGACCAACUGUUCAAUUUUUGUAUAAACAAAAUGGUAAAUAUGUGUACAUAUACUAAACAAUGUAUAGACGUAAAAUAAUAAUGUUUAUUCGCUUAGGAAUAAUCUUAUUCAACGCAAAGGCUAUUUUCCACUCUAACUCUAAAACACCCCUCUUUAUAAAAAGCUAUUGUCCAUUGUAUCAUUUGGACUUGUCCACUUAUAUAAACCGCUUGUUUUCCUCGCAGUCAUUCCUUUUCGAGCUGACCAGUAAACUGAGUAAGUCACUGCUUUACGAAUUUUACAUUUAAGCACAUGGUUGAAAAGAUGUCUGAAGUUCUUUUUAAAUGAGAACUUGUUCUUAUUUUGUACAGUUUUAUCUUGUUAUUCGUAUGUAAAUUUAGUAUAAGAAAUUCAGUAUCUUUAUUCUGGGGUAAGCUAUUUAAUAGUUUGCGUUUUUAUAUUCAAGAUAUACCGACCACGUGUUUGUACGGUUCUUGAAAUUGUGUUUGGUGAUCAGCUUUAUCAUGUCAGUCGUUGUACAUUUAGUAUACAGUAUAUAAUUUGAGUUUUUAGAUUCAAGAUACAACAACCACGUGUUUGUAUGAUUAUAGAAAUGUUAUUCAGGUGGUGUUUCCUGAAUAACAUAACUAUUAAAUAUUAAAACUGAACUAUUUAAUAAAGCUUAAAUUCUAGAAUAAUUGUAUUUUUGCUUUUAAUUGGAAUUAUUGUCUAUAUUAUUGUUCGCUUUUACGUUUUUAUUAACAAGACUAUUUUCAUGGUUUUAUAAUGCCACCACGUGCAAAAAGACGUCGAGCGGAAGCCGCGCAAGCGCUUCAAACCAUGGGUGCGGAACCGAGUCAGAGGGUCGUUCGCGUGGAACCGAUAGUGACGGCACCAGAAAUUGACCCAGAGUAAUCGUCCGAGCCGGGAACAAGCGAGCAACAAAGCGAGAAAGGGUGUUGCAGGGUUCAUUGCGAUAUAAUAUGGCACGACUACCAAGCUAACCUGCAAAGGCCAUGGUGACAAUAAAAGUCAGAGCAAGUGUUUCCAGAAGUGACUGGAUGGGAGUUAGCAUGAUUGUGGGACAACGUGGCACAAAUCCUGAGCAUUUAUAUAGCUGAGGGGUCAGACAUUGUUCCAGGGAAUAUUUUGAACGGGGGGGGGGGGACAGAUAUGAUCAUAUAUUAAAAGGAAACUCCUUAUACAUGUAUAUCUGGAAUGAAAAUCUCGUCUGUUAGUCAUUUUUGUAGGCAAAUAAUCUACACAAGACAGUAUAUGCACUAUGACAUUAAAGCCAUAUAUAGCUCCAGUUAGCAUUCAGACAUUAUUUGCCAAAACGUUUCAUGAGAAUGAAUUGAAAAAUAUGCUUUUUAAAAUGACACUAAGUUGAACUGUCACAUACAUGUCGUUUUUAAAUAAUACGGUCUUUGCGACAGUAAGAAUUGUACAGAACAGAACAACUCUUUAUUUUACACCCAAGUAUACAAGGGAUACAAUAAGGGCAACAUAACAAAAACGAGUUUUACAGUAUUUUCCGGUUCAAGGUGGCAACAGUUAUAGGACAGCUAAUAUUAGUGUUAGGUAGUGUAACUAUUUAAGAUAAAAAGGGGAACUAUUAAAUGGGAGUUCAAACACAUACAGUGUGUAUACAAGUGUAGAAAGGACUUUGAAGAUGAUGAGCUUGUACAUGUACUUCAAAAAGACAUAUUAUUGAGAGUACUCGUUGAUGCAAAUGCUAAAGAAACAGACAAUCACCAUGCAGAGGUCGGUAUCACAAAAGAGUGGUAUAAUUGAAAUUGUACCUACA